rnacentral:misc_RNA from 1 species
GGAUGAAGAACGCAGCGAAAUGCGAUAAGUAGUGUGAAUUGCAGAAUUCAGUGAAUCAUCGAAUCUUUGAACGCACAUUGCGCCCCUUGGUAUCCCGAGGGGCAUGCCUGUUCGAGCGUCAUUUCACCACUCAAGCCUGGCUUGGUGUUGGGCGACGUCCCCUUUGGGGACGCGCCUCGAAACGCUCGGCGGCGUGGCACCGGCUUUAAGCGUAGCAGAAUCUUUCGCUUUGGAAGUCGGGGCCCCGUCUACCGGAAGACCUACUCGCAAGGUUGACCUCGGAUCAGGCAGGGAUACCCGCUGAACUUAAGCAUAUCAAUAAGCGGAGGA